UGGGGAAUAUUGCACAAUGGGGGAAACCCUGAUGCAGCGACGCCGCGUGAGUGAAGAAGUAUUUCGGUAUGUAAAGCUCUAUCAGCAGGGAAGAAAUAGCGACCUUUGGGUCGCCAGACGGUACCUGACUAAGAAGCCCCGGCUAACUACGUGCCAGCAGCCGCGGUAAUACGUAGGGGGCAAGCGUUAUCCGGAUUUACUGGGUGUAAAGGGAGCGUAGACGGCAGCACAAGUCUGAAGUGAAAUGCCGGGGCUUAACCCCGGAACUGCUUUGGAAACUGUGCAGCUAGAGUGCAGGAGAGGUAAGUGGAAUUCCUAGUGUAGCGGUGAAAUGCGUAGAUAUUAGGAGGAACACCAGUGGCGAAGGCGGCUUGCUGGACUGUAACUGACGUUGAGGCUCGAAAGCGUGGGGAGCAAACAGG
rnacentral:rRNA from 1 species